UACGUAGGGACCGAGCGUUGUCCGGAAUCAUUGGGCGUAAAGAGCGUGUAGGCGGCUAUUUAAGUCCUGCGUGAAAUCCUGCGGCUCAACCGCAGACGGUCGUGGGAAACUGGAUGGCUAGAGUGCGGGAGAGGAGAGUGGAAUUCCCGGUGUAGCGGUGAAAUGCGCAGAUAUCAGGAAGAACACCCGUGGCGAAGGCGGCUCUCUGGACGGUAUUGACGCUGAGGUGCGAAAGCGUGGGAGCAAACAGG
rnacentral:rRNA from 1 species